rnacentral:rRNA from 1 species
GCCAAGUUUUUAAGGGCGCACGGUGGAUGCCUUGGCACCAGGAGCCGAUGAAGGACGUAGGAGGCUGCGAUAAGCCUCGGGGAGCUGUCAACCGAGCUGUGAUCCGAGGGUGUCCGAAUGGGGAAACCCGA